ensembl:lncRNA
UUAUCAUGUAUGCAAGGCUAACUUAAAUACUUUUUAACAAUAUUACAAUAAUGCCAUUCUUCACCAGAUUUACGCCAAUUUACAUAAAAAUACAGAAAAUAUGCACCAUAUUUAUGUGAUGAUGUAGAUUUUUCUCAUAGACUUGUUAGUCGUGGAAAUAGCCAACUAUAACUAGCUGACGUAAACUGAGAAAUCUGGAGAGUAUAAAGACAUACAUGAUACAUUAACUUCAUUGUACUUAGUUUAGUUGCUGUAUGAAUUUGUGUGAAAGUGGUUGUAUUUUACUAAAAUGUAUUGUUGUUUUUGGACUCCUGGCUGGCUCACUCUUGAGUGACUGGCUGAUCUGGCACAGACAAAGUUUCAGAACACUGAGACCUUAAAAUCUUUUUAAAUUAUUUGCUUUUUUCCCCAUUUCAGUGCCAGUUGUUGUGAAGUGCAACUAUUUGCAGUUAUGUGCUGACAACACUUCAAGACGCUUCCUGUAUGAAGAAAUUAAUGGGCCGCAGUAUUCAGGUGUGAUUUUGGCACAUUCUUCUAAACAUAUUGUCUUUAAAUCUUGUUCAGUUGGAUUCGAGUCAAAUGAUUGACUGAAAUUGAGUGUUUCCUUUGCUUUAUGCUUUGGAUCGUUGUCCUGCUGGAAGUCCACCUACGUCUCAUCUUCAUCAUCCUUGAGGAUGGCAGCAGAUUCUUCUCAAGAAUCUCCCGAAGCACUACCUGCACAGUGCUGCUUCAGUUAAGCCCAUGUAGACCCGGCAGCUCCUACAUCAGAAAAGCAGUAACAGCACUUUAUGAGUUCAACUAAUCGGGGAGGCGAAGAGAGUGGGAAAGGUCUGUGCUUGGACGAUGCCACACUGCCACCUGGAGAUGGUAUUGUACAUUACAGCUCCUCCGUACUCUUCUCUGAAAUUUGCCAGGAGAUGAUGGGCAAUGUCACAUGAUGCAACUAAACCAUCAUUCCUCAAGAAAUAUAAGAGCUGAGGAGUGCAGGCUGAGAAACACACACACACAGAGGCACACACUCUCACACAGUCAAGUGCCCAAGGUCAAGUACUGGCUUUACUGCUACAUGAAAGCUGUACAAUUCCACCUUUUCAGACUGGUGCGAACCUGCAACUUAAUUGCAGUCACACCCCUCCCACGAAUACAACAUCCUCCCUCCCUCGUUAAUGUUGCGUUCAACAUCACAAUAGCAACAUAAAUACUGCCACAGCCGGACAUGACAGGACUGCAAGAAAAGUCUACACUAUACAAUCCAACACCGGCAGAUGGGACACAAGAGACCACAACGGCAACAGUGUCUGCCAGCAACACGACAGAAUCAUAACGUGACAGGACCAAAAACACCACACUAUACAUUACAAAUACAUCAUCAUCAUCAUCAUCAUCAUCAUCAUUAUCACUACGUAUCUGAACAGAAUCAAACACCACACUAUACAUUACAAAUACAUCAUCAUUAUCAUCAUCAUCACUACGUAUCUGAACAGAAUCAAACACCACACGAGACAUAACAAAUACAACAUCGACAUCGCUCCGUAGAAAGAUCAAAUCAAACACCACAUGACGCCAGCCUACAUCCUUUCCAUGAAAGCUUCAGCAUAUCCUGAGCACCUAACAGCUGAAGCUUACUGUAAAACCAGUGGAUCACUUUCAGAUCUCCUCUAAACUCAGGAACCGAGUUCCAGAGAACUUUGGGAAUACAAAAACUGUAGAUGUUUUGUUUGAAGUUUUGAAAUGUGAGAAUUUAGCUUAUUUAACAUAUUUCUAAUGAAUUUCAUUUUCUAUGUAUGUUUAUAUUUAAUGUGCUUGGCCACAAAUAUUUAAAUGUUUUAUUUAACAUACUUAUUUAACUCACACUUCUUGCAUCGUUUAUCUUGUUAAUAUUUCCCUGAUUUGUAGUAAUUCUCAUGAAUGUAUAGUUUCACAAUUAGAUUUCUGAUUUAUAAAUGUUACAUUAUUAAUUAAAUCAAUGUAUUAUUAUUAUUAAUUGAAGAAUUGUUUCACUAAUGGACUUUAUCAUAAAUGCUGAUUUUUUUUUUAAUUGGUGUACAAAUAAACUAUAUCUACACAAAC